UACGUAGGGGCCGAGCGUUGUCCGGAGUUAUUGGGCGUAAAGAGCUCGUAGGCGGUGUGUCACGUCGGCCGUGAAAACCUGCAGCUUAACUGUGGGCGUGCGGUCGAUACGGGCAUCACUGGAGUUCGGCAGGGGAGACUGGAAUUCCUGGUGUAGCGGUGAAAUGCGCAGAUAUCAGGAGGAACACCGGUGGCGAAGGCGGGUCUCUGGGCCGGAUACUGACGCUGGAGGAGCGAAAAGCGUGGGGAGCGAACAGG
rnacentral:rRNA from 1 species